rnacentral:rRNA from 1 species
CCUACAGGUGGCAGCAGUGGGGAAUAUUGGACAAUGGGCGAAAGCCUGAUCCAGCCAUGCCGCGUGUGUGAAGAAGGCCUUCGGGUUGUAAAGCACUUUCAGUGGGGAAGAAAGCCUUGGGGCUAAUACCCUCGAGGAAGGACAUCACCCACAGAAGAAGCACCGGCUAACUCCGUGCCAGCAGCCGCGGUAAUACGGAGGGUGCGAGCGUUAAUCGGAAUUACUGGGCGUAAAGCGCGCGUAGGCGGUCUGAUAAGCCGGUUGUGAAAGCCCCGGGCUCAACCUGGGAACGGCAUCCGGAACUGUCAGGCUAGAGUGCAGGAGAGGAAGGUAGAAUUCCCGGUGUAGCGGUGAAAUGCGUAGAGAUCGGGAGGAAUACCAGUGGCGAAGGCGGCCUUCUGGACUGACACUGACGCUGAGGUGCGAAAGCGUGGGUAGCAAACAGGAUUAGAUACCCUAGUAGUC